CCUACGGGAGGCAGCAGUCGAGAAUCAUUCACAAUGGGGGAAACCCUGAUGGUGCGACGCCGCGUGGGGGAAUGAAGGUCUUCGGAUUGUAAACCCCUGUCAUGUGGGAGCAAAUUAAAAAGAUAGUACCACAAGAGGAAGAGACGGCUAACUCUGUGCCAGCAGCCGCGGUAAUACAGAGGUCUCAAGCGUUGUUCGGAAUCACUGGGCGUAAGGCGUGCGUAGGCUGUUUCGUAAGUCGUGUGUGAAAGGCGCGGGCUCAACCCGCGGACGGCACAUGAUACUGCGAGACUAGAGUAAUGGAGGGGGAACCGGAAUUCUCGGUGUAGCAGUGAAAUGCGUAGAUAUCGAGAGGAACACUCGUGGCGAAGGCGGGUUCCUGGACAUUAACUGACGCUGAGGCACGAAGGCCAUGGGAGCGAAAGGGAUUAGAUACCCCUGUAGUC
rnacentral:rRNA from 1 species